UACGGAGGAUGCGAGCGUUAUCCGGAUUUAUUGGGUUUAAAGGGAGCGUAGACGGGAUGUUAAGUCAGCUGUGAAAGUUUGGGGCUCAACCUUAAAAUUGCAGUUGAAACUGGCAUUCUUGAGUGCGGCAGAGGCAGGCGGAAUUCGUGGUGUAGCGGUGAAAUGCUUAGAUAUCACGAAGAACUCCGAUUGCGAAGGCAGCUUGCUGGAGCGUAACUGACGCUGAGACACGAAAGUGUGGGGAGCAAACAGG
rnacentral:rRNA from 1 species